rnacentral:lncRNA from 1 species
AGUGAAGCAGCGAAGCAGUAUUGCACUUGAGUUAUUGAAGCUUCAAACGCGAGGGAAAGAUCCUGAUUGUUGCUGCUGCUCUGAUUUUUCCUUCGUGGGAGAUUGCAAAGAAAGGAGAGGAAAGAGAACAAGAGGAUUAGAGGAGCAAGAAGUUGAGGGUACGAAGGUUGAUGGAUCCACACGUCAUAAGAGGAACGGACAGGAACACCUGAGAUACACACCUGAGAUACACAUCUGAGACGCGCCGAUACACAGGAGGAGGGUGAAGGUGGCUGGUGACCUACGGCGGUGUGUUACCUGAUGGCUGAUGGCUGAUACCUGUGAUAUAUGCAAGCAACACUGACCAUUUUUUUCGCACGUCGUCCAAUUUCUCCAACUUUGGCAGCGCAGCCACUCAAACGGAACACAAGAGGGGGAACACGUAUCACGCGCUUUAAGAGGAUGUGUCACUGCAUGAGAGAUACAAGUCUGACUGCGCUACAAUUCUUGCCUCCAGGACGUCUUUGCCGUCUCAGAUGUCAAUAACUACCUUACACGUUAAAGCUUUGGCAGCGUCUGACAGUGAUUGGUUCGUACGGAGCGACAAGGGGCAAUUAUGGUCAACACCUGUCCGCUCAACUCUUUACUUAGAGGAAGUGAAUGGAGAACGGAGGAGUGAAAAAAAGUCAGAGCAGUGGAGACGGCCAGGGAGAGAUCUGUAGUAGAAAGUAAGGAGGAGGUGCAGGUUCACUUUCUGAGGAAAUCAAUGUGUCUUUGUUCACCUUCAAGAGCGAAGGAACUGAUGAAUCGUCCCUUUGUGGGAAUAAAAAUAGUUGGAUAUCCCAUAAUUUUACUGCUUUGUUCGCUUCUUAGAACUGUAAACAGUUUACUUUUUUUUCUCCGUUACGAGCCUUUGUAUGAACGUCUGUCACAUUCCCGUUCAUUCCGGAUACGUGAGUUAUCUGAAAGCUUAACAGGAAAGAUGUAUUCCUCCUCGAUAAACACCCAUUUGAAAAUAAAAAUACAGUAAAAGAUAGGAAGAAAACUACACAACUAAUGGUGAUAAUAGCCACAAUCGGUAAAUAAAUUAUAAGCUACACUGCCAGUUUUGCGUCUUUCUCAAAAAAAGGAAAGAAAAUGUAAAGUCUAAGAUUAUCGUUGAAAAUAAGGAAAGGGGAAGAGCAACAACAUACCAUCAGGGAAGAAAAAUAAACAUAAAAUUCCAGGGAACACCAUGCUUGCUGCUUUCAACGCCUAAGAUAGUAAAAGGAACAAGACGGAAAAGAGGGAAGGUGUGGGAGAGGGAAAGAAACGAAAAAUAAAUACACUAGAGGAGGAAGAGAAUAACACGAAGAGGAAGCGAGGGAAAUGGGGAGUGAAAGUAGAUGGGCACAGAGCACGGAAGAGGAAAACGGUAGAAGGAAAGAAAGAAGUGAGCGAGGAAAAAAUAAAGAGGCAGGAGGGAAGUCAGAUAAUGUAAAGUGGAAGGAAGAGAGAUAGGGAAAGAAGGGAAGAGGGGAAGCAGAGAGGAGGAAAAAAAGGAGAGAUUUAAAAGUAAUAAGAUGAAAAAUAUAAGUAUCUGAAGUGCAUUAAGGUAAAAUAAGC